rnacentral:rRNA from 1 species
UACGUAGGGGGCUAGCGUUGUCCGGAUUUAUUGGGCGUAAAGAGCGUGUAGGCGGCCAGGUAGGUCUGGUGUGAAAACUCGAGGCUUAACCUCGAGAUGUCAUCGGAAACCAUCUGGCUAGAGUCCGGAAGAGGAGAGUGGAAUUCCUGGUGUAGCGGUGAAAUGCGCAGAUAUCAGGAAGAACACCAAUGGCGAAAGCAGCUCUCUGGGACGGUACUGACGCUGAGACGCGAAAGCGUGGGGAGAGAACAGG